AGAUACAGUCUCACUGUGUUUUCCAGGCUGAUUCCAAACUCCUGGGCUCCAGUGAUGCUCCUGCCUCAGCCUUCAGAGUAGCUGGAACUACAGGCACCCACCACUGUGUCUGGCUCAUGUCUUUUUGUGCUGGAGGAGGCUGUAGGUGACCUGUGAAUUGGCCUCUUCCGAAGAAACUUCCAGGAAUUGUUUGAACUUUUUCCUGCCUUGCUUGCUGACUUUGGAGUCCACCCCCGGUGUGAGAUGAGAAGGCUGCACCCAGCUGUCCUGAGCAAUGAAUCACCAGACCCGAGCUUCGGGAAGACCGACCUGGCAGGGAUGCAGAAAAGCACUCUGGAUUGAAAACAGCAGUUCAUUACUUAAGCCGAGUCGUUAGAUGAACCAGUUUUAAUCUCUACAUGGAGCAACUUGUUUUGUAAAUAAUUCAAACAUUUUAUCAUGGGUACAAUGACAAAAUGAAGAUUUAAAAAUAUGUACAUUGUUUGACAAUUAAAAAGAGAAAUUCAUACACAACAUUUGUUCAAUUUGUGAAACAUUCAAAAAUUUGACAAAGUAUAAAUAUGUAUCCUAACUAUAAUUUUAAAAGGGGGCUGGGGAUUUAGCUCAGUGGUUUUGCUGCCUGCUGCGCAAGCGCAAGGAUCUGAGUUCGAUCCCCAGUACAAAAAAAAAAAAAAAAGAUUUCUAUAAUUUUAAAAGACAUUUUGGGAUAUUUCGAGAAAACAACUAAAGACUCCUUAUUUGGAUGGAUAUGAUGGUUAAGUUCUUUUUUCAUUUUAAAACUUAUUUGUUGACAAGCCAGUUCUGGUGGCUCAUGCCUG
rnacentral:lncRNA from 1 species